GCCUACAGAAACGUACAAAGGAAGUUAGACGGGGCCCGCCGACAAGCGGUGGAGCAUGUGGUUAAGUUCGAAGCAACGCGCAGAACCUUACCAGCCCUUGACAUACCGGUCGCGGACACAGAGAUGUGUCUUUCAGUUCGGCUGACCGGAUACAGGUACUGCAUGGCUGUCGUCAGCUCGUGUCGUGAGAUGUUGGGUUAAGUCCCGCAACGAGCGCAACCCUUGCCUUUAGUUGCCAGCAGUUCGGCUGGGCACUCUAAAGGGACUGCCGGUGUUAAACCGGAGGAAGGUGGGGAUGACGUCAAGUCCUCAUGGCCUUUAUGACCAGGGCUACACACGUACUACAAUGGCCGAUACAAAGGGCAGCGACACUGCGAGGUGAAGCCAAUCCCGUAAAAUCGGUCUCAGUCCGGAUUGGAGUCUGCAACUCGACCCCAUGAAGUUGGAAUCGCUAGUAAUCGUGGAUCAGCAUGCCACGGUGAAUACGUUCCCGGGCCUU
rnacentral:rRNA from 1 species